GCCAAUCAGUGUUUUAUUUAUUGACCAAUCAGGGCAAUUUGCCAUACAGACCAUCCCACAGCACCGGGCCACUGAGGAAAGUGCUAAAGUCUGGUCAUCAAUUUAAUCUCAGAAUUGGGAGAGAUGUAGGUUAAUGUAAUUGUUAUGAUCCAUGUGCAGAAGGUGGGACACUUGAAUGGAGGGCAGAAGGAAGUUGCCUGGAUUAGGAAGAGGAUAUUCCAGGUGACUAUCACAGCAGAGACCCAGGGAACGAAACCUUGGUUGUUUUGGUUCUGUAUGCGCUGACAGACAGCUGGUAGGAGGGAAGAGAUGAAGUACAGCAGGAUUAAAACUUGGAUACAGGCAGCCUGAUGCAACCAUGAGGAAGCUGCUUCUCUUUCGGAGAGAGGCACAUGCUGACUCCAGGUAAACGUCUGUGAUGGUUUUGAUCGCCAGCUUCAGAGGAUCCAGAGUCGCCGUGGGAACGUCUCGUGAGCAGAUCUGUGAGUGGCUUUCUAGAUUACGUUAACUGAGGUGGGAGGAUUGGUCAUAAAUGUGGUGGCUGGUGUCCUGUGGGCUGGUGUCCCAGGCUGCAAAGCAAGGAGAAACCUACUUCUCAUGCUGCUGUCCCCAAAUCCCAGCAAUUUAACUGAUAUCCUAACUAAUAUCCAAACAUCAGAAGUCGGAAAUCCUUCCAAGUCAACCCUUUUCUGAGCAUCUACUUGGCAUCAUGAGUGGAAACUUUUACACCUUACCUCAGGCUAUCUGUCGCAGUCCAGGUGUAGGUACACUGAAAAAAAAAAAAAAACUGUAUAAAAUCACCUACAGGCUAUGUAUAAGAGGUGUCUAUAAACCUAAAUGGCCAAGUGUGGUAGCACACACCUCAAGUGGCCGAGUCGGGAAAAUAUUUUCUGCCAUUCUGUAGGUUACUUUAAAAAUUCUGUCCAUUGUGUUCUUUAUGGGGGCACAAUUCUUAACUUUGAUUAAGUUCAAUUUGUAUUUUUUUUCUUUGCCUGUGUUUUGAUGUCCUACCCAAGAAAUCACCAUCAAGUCCAGGUUUUGAAGAAUGUCUUACUUUCUUCUAGGACUUGUGUAGGUUUAGGUUUUUCUUACAAGUCUUUGAUCUGUUUUGAAUUAAUGUUUGCAUGUAGUAUCAAGGGUCCACUCCAUCCUUUCUCUUGUAUAUAUUCAAUUAUCCUAAAAUCCAUGAUUGUCCUUUCUCUACUGAAUGGUCUUAAUGUCCGUCCUGUUUUAUUGGCAUGUCUUUAUGCCCACACCAUGAUGUUCUGGUUACAGAAUUGUGAUAAAACUUCCAUUUAGAAAGUUAGAAACCUCCAACUUUGUGUUCCUUUUUCAAGAUCUUUUUGCUAUUUACUGUGUCUUGAGAGUCUAUAUGAGUUUUAGGAUGGAUUUUCUGGUUUCUGAAAAACAAAAAACCAUUGGGAUUUUGAUGGAGAUGGUGUUCAGUCUAUAGACCAUUUUGGGUAAUGUGGCUAGCUUAAUGAUAACGAUGUUACAAUUCCUGAAAACAAGUGUUUGUCCAUUUCUUCAUGUGUUCUUUAGUUUCUUUUAGCAAUGUCUAGUUGUUUUUAUUUUAUACACUAUUUUCCUUUUUGGUUAAGGUCAUUAUUCUAAGUAGUUUAUUCUUUUGAUAUGAUUGUGAAUUGAAUUGUUUCUGUAAUCAAAGCAGAUAUCUUGGCCUUCCAUGAUGCCAAGUUUCUCUUCUCCAGAGACUGGGUGAUACUAAUUCGGAAGGAUGAGAGUCCAGGCCACCCAGAGGUUCCCCUUCAUCCUAAGAAGGGACUGCAAUUUGGAAUCAGAACCUCCGAGAGAGCCAAGUUUGGUGGUUUGCCAAACAGACGAUGCUCCUUCCGUGUGAUGUACAGUGAGCAUUGGGGGCGAGCAUCUUCCUGUGGAUCCCAUGUGCACAGCUCUGGAUGGCAAACGAGGGGACUCUGGGAAGGAGGAUGCACUAGGGGAGAAAGAUUUGUCCAGCACCCAUUAGACAACGGGCUAAGAACACAAACAGACUUAGAGCAGAGGAGAAAAGGAGAGGAAAAAACCCAAAAACCAAAAAACACAACCACCACCGUAAAGCAAAGAGUCAAAGCUUGCUGAAUCCUUACUCUAGAGUUAGAGCAUGGGACAAUCUGCAGAGCCUACAGAAUGAGAGAAAAACCUUUGUCCACCAGACUAAUAGCUAGAAUCUGUAAACAGCUCUAAAAAUUAAAUGGCCAAAUCAUCAUCAUCAAGUCAACAAAUGGGCAAACGAAUUUGACAGGUAACUCUCCAAAGAAGAAAUACAAAUAGUCAGUGAAUACUUGACAAACAUUUCAAUAGUCUCAGCCAUCAGGAGCUACAAAUGAAAACUGCAUUGAAAUUUGAUCUUACCCAGUCAGAGGGAACAGUCUCCCCAUCAUCAAGGGAAUAAAUGACAGGUCCUGGUGAGGAUGGGGAGAGGAGCAUUUACACAGUGCUCAUGGGAAUGUGAACUUCUGUCAUUACUAUGGAAAUCAGCGCAGAGGUUCUACAACAACCUGAAAGUACAACUACUCUUAGGGACUCUAAGUUAGCUCACUACAGAGACCCUUGCACAUCCAUGUUUAUUGCUGCUUUAUUCACAAUAACCAGGGAAUGGAACCAGGACUAGAUGUCCAUCAACAGAUGAGUGAAAAAAGAAAAUGUGGUGCAAGAGAAUUUUAUUCAGCCAUAGAGAAGAAAGAAAUUCACUGGAAAUGGCAGAGAGAAGAAUGUCUUUUUACUGGGAAAAUGGAUGGAUCUGGCGAUCAUCAUGUUAAGCAAAAGAAGCCAAAUGCAGACAGACAAAUACAUAA